CCAACACGAGGCAUUAUCUCACGAGAGGAUAAUCACUUCCGCAGUACAGAUAAUACUGGUUCAUUUUCUGAUGACCCACUUCCCAUUUGCGAUCUACAGACCAUUAAGAAAGAGGUUGCUGAAGAUGUAUUAGCAGUCUUGAGUUUCAGUGGAUGUGUUAAAGAGGAGCCAGAAUUAGAUAUAGGAGUGG